rnacentral:rRNA from 1 species
GACGAACGCUGGCGGCGUGCCUAAUACAUGCAAGUCGAACGCAGUGGGUACGGGUGAGUAACACGUGGGUAACCUCCCAUCAGAGGGGAUAACACUUGGAAAAAUGUGCUAAACCGAUCCCGAUGGAUGGACCCGCGGUGGAUUCGCUAGUUGGUGAGGUAACGGCUCACCAAGGCCACGAUGCAUAGCCGACCUGGGAGGUGGAUCGGGCAAGCGGGGACUGAGACACAGGCAAGACGCCUAAGGGAGUCAGCAGGAGUGAAGCUGCGUGAAUGGACGAAAGUCAGAAGGAGCAACGCCGGGUGAGUGAAGAAGGUGAUCAGAUCUUUAAACUCUUUUGUUAGAGAGGCGGUAGCUUACCAGAAAGCCACGGCUAACUACGUGCCAGCAGCCGCGGUAAUUC